UACGUAGGGGGCGAGCGUUGUCCGGAUUUACUGGGCGUAAAGCGCGUGUAGGCGGUACUCUAAGUCCGGGGUGAAAUCCGGGGGCUUAACCCCCGAACGGCGCCGGAAACUGGAGCGCUUGAGUGUCGGAGAGGGGAGUGGAAUUCUCGGUGUAGCGGUGAAAUGCGUAGAGAUCGAGAGGAACACCCGUGGCGAAGGCGGCUCCCUGGCCGAACACUGACGCUGAGACGCGAAAGCGUGGGGAGCGAACGGG
rnacentral:rRNA from 2 species